AUUGGGAUGUCUGAUUAAAAGAGAUAAACUGUAAAUUUAUUUAUGAAUUUAUAUUCUCCUAAUA
rnacentral:tRNA from 2 species